rnacentral:rRNA from 1 species
UACGUAGGGUGCGAGCGUUGUCCGGAAUUAUUGGGCGUAAAGGGCUCGUAGGCGGUUUGUUACGUCGGGAGUGAAAACCCAGGGCUCAACCCUGGGCCUGCUUCCGAUACGGGCAGACUAGAGGUAUGCAGGGGGGAAUGGAAUUCCUGGUGUAGCGGUGAAAUGCGCAGAUAUCAGGAGGAACACCGGUGGCGAAGGCGGUUCUCUGGGCAUUACCUGACGCUGAGGAGCGAAAGUGUGGGGAGCGAACAGG